GACAGAGGGUGCGAACGUUGUUCGGAAUUACUGGGCGUAAAGCGCGUGUAGGCGGCAGCGUAAGUCGGGCGUGAAAUCCCACGGCUCAACCGUGGAAGUGCACUCGAAACUGCGCAGCUAGAGUCCUGGAGAGGAAGGUGGAAUGCUUGGUGUAGAGGUGAAAUUCGUAGAUAUCAAGCGGAACACCGGUGGCGAAGGCGGCCUUCUGGACAGUGACUGACGCUGAGACGCGAAAGCGUGGGGAGCAAACAGG
rnacentral:rRNA from 1 species